CUUAAAGAGCCCCCCCCACCAGUGCUGGACCACCGGACCACCCUCAUGUCCGGACCAGUUCGGAGGCCUUCAGAAUGGCCUCCGGACCGGUCUGGGCUCAUCCCUAUUGUCUGCAGUUCUGGCCACCAUAUCUUAAGAAGGACAUUGUAGAACCAGAAAAAGUGAAGAAGAAGGCAACCAAAUGAUCAGGAGCCUGAAGCACCUUCCUUAUGAGGCAAGGCUACAGCAUCUUGGGCUUUCUAGCCUGGAGAAGAGGCGACUACAGGGAGACAUGAUCGAGGUGUAUAAAAUUAUGCCUGGAAUAGAGAGAAUGGAAAGAGAAUUUUUUUCUCCCUCUCUCACAACACUAUAACCUGGGGUUAUCCCAUGAAACUGAAGGCCGAGAUAUUUAGGACCAACAAAAGUACUUUCCCACAGAGUGCAUAAUUGAUAAAUAGAAUUCUCUGCCAUGGGAUGUGGUGAUGGCCACUGGCUUGGAUGGCUUUAAAAGGGGCUUAGACAAAUUCAUGGAGAACAGGUCUAUCAAUGGCUACUAGUCUGGUGGCUAUUGGCCAAUCCCAGCCUCAGAGGCAAGAUGCCUCUAAAAACCAGUUGCAGUGGAGAAACAGUAGGAGACAGGGCAUGCCCUCAACUCUUGCCCGUGGGCUUCUCAGAGGCAGCUGGUGUACCACUGUGUGAAACAGGAUGCUGGACUAGAUAGGCCUUGGACCUGAUCCAGCAGGGCUGUUCUUUUGUUCUUAUCCUCUCCUGCUUUGUGUGCAGUAAUAAUUUUGGUCCCUGGAAUUACAGCAGGCUAGUGCUUUUGAAGCAUUCUUAGAGUUUUAUAUGAACAGUUGUCUCCCACUCUGGCCAUACUGCAACAUGCGCCAGCUUGACCUGCAUCGCACAGCUAGUGUAGCAUAUGGUUAGUGCCGUGGAAAUAGUUUCUAUGUGUGAGUAAGGAAAGUACUGUUAAUGUGAAUAGGAGAGCUUCUCUAAAGAGACACUGGUCUGUCCCCAUUCCUCCUUAACAAUACAGCAGGACCAUUGUUUGAAACUGAGUCUGCUUCAGUCACAUAUAAGGUGCCCCCCAUUUUAAGAGUAAACAGUGGUAGUGUGAAUGAGGGGAACUGAAUUUUCCCCCUUCCUGCAGUUUACCUCUCUGCAAUCCUUUACUCCCAGCCAGCCAAUACCAAAAGUGAGUGGAAAGUAAAGUGCCUGGGAGGACAGGAAUGCAGGAAGGCAAGCCAUAGGAGGCUUCCUGUAUUUAUGAAUGUGCUCCUUGUGCUCUUAAAAAAACUCCCAUCUUCCAUUCUACUUGUGAUUGGGGCAAACUUUGGUUUAAACAAAUAGGUCUGCCAUUGUCCUACGUAGUUUGAGCCAGUGAGCUGAUUCUGUUCAUAUCCUUUCCCAAUAAUUAAAAUAAGGGAAAUUAUGUUCUCAGAAGCAUAUAUUGCAUUGAAAAGGGGGCAUUUCCAUGUUGUUUUAUAGGUGCUGCCCUCAUAAACACAAAGUAAUCUUAACUAACUAAAAAUUUAUUCAGAAACAAUAUCUUUCUCCUUUCCCUCUGCUUUCCUUUUCUGACUCCACCCCCACACUCUGUGGAGGAUCCCAGCUGGGACAAACUUCUCAACAAAACACAAAGGAUUACUAGAUAGAACAUAUCCCGCCCCUUUAUAACAACAAGAAUUGGAUUAAUUUAAAUUCAACUUCAUUGACAGUCUUUUAGGUGGUCCCCUGCCACACACACUUCUAAUUCUUGGGUUCUCUGGCAAAGGAGCUGUUAGUGAUGUUUCCCCCCCGGUACCUAGGAUUGUCCAUCACUUUACUCGAACGGAGCCCCCCCACCAUCUGUUUGCUGUUUCACAUCCUAUUUCUGAUACACAUAAAAUUUGUAUGAUUGUUGCUGCUCCCUUACCUGAUCACGAAUCUCUGCAUUGGCAGGAUGAGAUGGCAUGGAAAGCCCUAUCAGUUGUUGCCAUAGGGUACGUUUGGUGGUAGCUUUCCUCUCAGCAGUUCUUUCCUCUUUCCUCUCAGCAGUUCAAAAGGUGAUUUUCCUGUAGCAGAAUGAGGAGUGAUUCAAUAAGCAAAUAGAGUUUCACGGAUCACGUUUUUCAAGGGCUGUUGUUGCAUAGUAGACAGUUGUAAACUUUCUUUCGCUGACCUGAAAAAAGUUCAUGAAUGAAAGAAGUUCAAUCUUUCCACUAAGCCGUUCCCUCGAGUAUGGUGUUUUAUCCCACGGCUUUGCAAGUAUUACUCCAUUUCAAAUGCGGUAAGCUGUGUCCCAUUGACGAGCAGUCAGUCUGCUCCGGAUGGCCGCAGUGGCCACCCACACAACUGCUGGCUCCAUCACAGAGCUGGUGGGGACUGGGGAGUUUGGGGGCCGCGCGCCCCCCGGAGGCUCCAGCAUGCCCUGCGUGAGCACGCAGGGCAUGCUGGAGAGACCCCUGAGCUGGGAGGCUGCUUUUCAGCCUCCUGGUCGGGGGUCUCCUUGUGAGUUGCUGCGGUGUGGAGCCCUGCCGCGGCAACUCACGAGAAAAAAAACGGGUUUGUGGAGCACUCGCUCCACAAACCCGGUUUAAGGGGAGGGGUAGUUUGGCAGGUUAACCGCCUGGCGGAUUUCGGUGGACCGUGUGAAUAGCCUCACUAUCUCUUUAAGAAGACCUUCUUUUGCAAAAACUGCAGCCAUGAACUGGAUCACCUUGACUAUAGUAAUAUUGCCAGCAAAUGAAACUUCUAGCUACUUGGAAUAGUAAUCCAUUAUCACUAUAACAAAUCUUAAUUUUGUGUGUGUGGGGGGGGUUAAAUCAAAAGGCCCCAUUAUUAUCCAGAGCAUUUUUCCCCAGGGACCAUUGGGAUACUCUACUGGAGUCAAGAGGGUGCUAAAAAUCUUCUGCAAUUCGUCACAUACAACACAAGCCAUACAGUGCCUGAUUACAUUUUCAGUAUAAUACCUGGCCACCAAAUACACUCUAUGAUUUGCCUUUUAGUCAUACUCAUGCCCAGGUGACCUUCGUGGGCAAUUUGAUCACUUUUGCUUGUAAAGUGUUGGCACCACCAAAUGAUCAGUCAGCACCAGCUCAUUGAGAAGGGACAGCUUGCUUGCUACAUAUAUGUAUGGCUGAAGGUGUUCAGGUACCUUGUUUUUCCAUGGCCAUCCAUUAGUUAUGUAAGAUUUAAGUUCAGUAAGCACUUGAUCAGCACUGAAGGCCACUUUCCAUUCAGAAGAUGUGAUCACUCCAAGAGUGCAUGAAGCUAUUUGUACAAUUAAUAAUCCUUCAUCCUUGUCAUCUGGGAUCUCCUCUUGGCCUUGAAAUGGAAGUUGAGAUAAACAAUCUGCAGUUGUAUUCUGAAGACCUGGAAGAUAUUCCACCUGGAAAUCAAAAUCCAUAAGUCUGGUGAUCCACUUGGCUAUUCUUGGGGUUGCUCAACUUGAUCUCCAAGUAGUAAAUAAAGCAGACAGGGUUUAUGGUCGACCAUAAUUUUCUGCCCCACAAGUAAGUCUGGACGUGCCUCAUUGCUCAGAAACACACCUGAGCUUCUUUUUCAAGGAGAGAAUGCAUCUUCUCUGAUGUAGUAAGCACGCUGGAAGCAAAAGCAACUGUAACUUCCCUGUCCCCCUUUUGCUGGGUCAAAACAGCACCCAAGUCAUAUUCAGAAGGAUAACAAUACAAUCAUUAUUGUAAUGACUGAAGCAUCAGGAGUACCAUAGGUUGGGAACACCUGCCUUAUGGAGUGACCAACAAAUAAAAUUAUUAUUUUAUUAGUUAUUCAUAUCGUCCUGAUUCUGAUUUAGAGGACAGGAUGUGCUGCUUCAGUACACAUACGCAGGCUGAAUCAUCCUGCACUGAGUCACCCAUGUGGACUAGACUGUGUAAUAUAUGCAUGACAGGCUUCAUGCUGACACUGAGCUCCUCUAGAUUGGAGCAGGCAGAAUCCUGCUUUUCUGGCAGGAUCAAUAGAUUAAUCCAGAGUGGGUGUUGGCUAUAUACAUAUGCCUGUUUCUUCCACUGCCUUUGGGCACUUUUUUUGUGUCUCCAUGUGCACCCCUGCCAUUGUGCAAUCUGGGCCAGUACUAGCUCUUUCACUGGCAGCCCCGGCCCCGGCCCUGGCUUGCCUCUCUUGGUCUCUGUCUUGGUGAUGGCAGGAAGAUAAGAGAGAGAGAGUGAGAGAGCAUAAAUGAGUGGGUGCCACGGGAAGUGGUGGUGGCAGGAGGAGGACAAUGGUGAAGAGAAAGAGAAAGAGAUUUGGGAGCAUGGCCUCAGCAGGAGAAGAGGAAGAGGAGGGAGAGGAAGAGAGAGAGAGCGCAAGAGAGAGAGAGCACUUUAGGCGGCCAUGGCAGAAGUGGUUGAGGGGCUAGAAGUGAGAGGAGGAGAGGAGCAAACCCACCCCUCCUGCUCACCUACACUUCCUACAGAAACCUGGUCCUAAGUGUCUACAUGCUGAAAUGUAAUGUUCACAGGAGCUACUCACGCAUCCAACACAGCAAAAACUAGGAUUUUCUUCUUCUUCUAACUUUUCCAUGAAUUUGAAGGCUAUUUGUGGUGUGAAAAUAUGGAAUGGCCAUACCUCAUUUAUAUUGCCAGCAACAUCCCCUGUGGAAAUCAACAUUCAAGGUGGCACAAAUUCCCGUUUAGACAUGCCCAGUAUGGGAGGGAAAGGUACGUGGGAUGUGUUCACAAACUUCACACUUGCAUAUCUACCACAUCAAGUACAAUAUAUGUUCAACUGAAGCAACUGAUACAUUCAGGUAAAAUUUAUUUGCCCUAUUCAGACAUAGCCCUUCACGUGUUCUUGAACAUGAGAGGGGAAAGACAGAUUGUGCCUGCUAUCUCUUACCUCUGGGUAGAAAGUUUGAAAAGUACUAUGCUUGCAAACUCUCCUUAUGUUUGGGAAUCCCAAUCAUGUAAGAUAUUUGGUUGCAUGGAAACUCCAAUGAGCAUAUAGUUCUAUAUGCAUAAGCUUCCCUUUCAGACUUUCACUUCAAGGAAAGAGGCCAGCAUAGCUGAGCAUGCUGAUGUCAGGGCCAUGGCCCAUGGAGAGGGGAAUAGGAAGAAUAGUCCCUCCUGCAUCCUGUCCUUGUGGCAGCCCUCUUACCAGCCACGCCCUCUGUGUCGAUGUCAGAUGCAAGUCAACACAGGGGGUAUAACUGGCAUUGGGCUUGGCGGUUCCACUGGUAUUCUUUCCCAGCUGGCAAACAAUGCUUGCUGGCUGGAAAUGACUGACCAGUGGCACUUCUAGGUCCAAUGCCAGUCAUGGCUACUGUAUUGACAUUCUGCUGUUGAUGCAGGGGGAGUGGCCAACAUUGACCCUGGAAGCAUCACCCAUGUGAGUGUUGGGGUGCAGGAGCAAGAGGGUACCCUGUGGGGCAAAGGGAUGCUGUGGCAGUCCCUGGAUGGCCCAGGGAUAUCCCCCCACCUUGGUGGUUAUGCCACUGCCAAUGGACAAUCUUGUUCCUCCUCCAUGUGUUAACUGAAUUCAUUGAAGGUGAAGUCGUGAAUAGGGAUAUUGAGUGAUACAUCAACAUGUGAUGAGAGAUCAAGUGCUGUGCAUGCCAUGCAUGACAGUGCAAUCCUAUGCAUGUUUACUCAGAAGUAAUCCCUACUGUAUUCAGUGGGUCUUAUUCCAGAUAAGUGUGCAUAGGAUUGCAGCCUAAAUCAAUGUUGUAUUCAGUGGGUUUUACUCCCAGAUAGGUGUGCAUAGGAUUGUAGCGUAAAUCAAUGCUGAGAUUUCCUGGAACAUUUGCUGCACUUUUACCUGCAGGUUCCUUGACAUGCUGUUAGUUUAUGAGCCAUCUGGACAAAAAAGGUAUCAUUUCCAUGUUUUGCACUGCACUUUAGAUGUUUACUAUAAUAAUAAUAUUAAUAAUUGAAAUUUAAAGAAACUGAACACCAAUCUGGAGUUAUACAUUUUCCUCAGACCUGGACAUAACUUGGUACAGCCAGGACUGGAUUACUCUGAGUAGAAAAAGAAGUAAGCUGAAAUAUGAUACUUGGUAGAAAUGCAUGUGAACCUCUUUCUUUCUUUCUUUCUUUCUUUCUUUCUUUCUUUCUUUCUUUCUUUCUUUCUUUCUUUCUAAAACUAUCCCUCUUUUCCAUCCCAACGAUGGAUGGUCAAAGCUAAUGGAUACUCAGACCAACUAUACACACGUUGGUUCAGCCUCACCCCCUUGGGGAAGAUGAGGCUGUUUUGAAUUUUUAACAUACAUUGGAGUAGGCUUCAACUCUCUGUCUCUAUUUUCUGGAUUCUGUCCCUAGUAAAUCACAGUGCCAAUUUUGUCCCCAUGUUUGCCUCUUUGGUGUACCUUUUUCACACCCCCACCCCAAUGUGUUGCUAGAGUCCUCUGGAUUCUUAAGGAGUCAACUCCCUCCUCAGAGUCUGUAGAAGUAACAUCUCCAAAUGUGUGGAUGGAUGCAUUCUAUCUCUAGUGCACCUGCAUGUUGAUGGGUGCACUGUACUAAGGCACUAUGCAGCGCACAACAUAAAGUGGGCCAGUCUUCAGCAGUGUAUAAUCAUGCAGGGUGGUCUUGAGCAGUAAUCCUUAGGAUGAAAAUUGUUGUAAUUAUUUUCAUUUGCAAAAUGUUGGAGGGUAUGGGCUUGGCUCAUCUACUACUACCACUGUGACGAAGAAGAAUAUUUUAAAACCACUUUUCAACAAAAGUAGAGAUGUGCAAAUUGAUUUGAAUUCAAAUUGAUUCAGCUCAAAUCUGGGUGAUUCGAGUGAUUUGAAUUCAAAUCAAAUCACCCCUUAAAAGGGUAAUUCGAUUUGAACUGAAUUUUCAAAAUUUGAUUCAAAUUUGAUUCGAGAGCUGUUUGGCACCUUUUGCAAACCAUUCAGGCCCCCUGAUUGGUUUAAAAAGGUGCAAAGACAGGUUUAAAUUUCAUUCAAAUGUGAUUCACAUUUUGGCACCAGAUUUGAAUUUGAUUCAAAUUUGAAAUGAAUUUUUGGAAUUCGAUUCAAAUUUAAAAGAAAUGGAAAGAUUCAUUUCGUCCACGUCUCUGAACAAAAGUUAUUGAAGCGGUUUACAUAGAGGGAAAAAAAUACAUAAAUAAAGAUAGAUCCCUGUCCCCAAAGGGCUCACAAUCUAAAAAGAAACAUAAGAUAGUAACAACCACUGGAGGGAUGCUGUGCUGGGGUUGGUUAGGACCAGUUGCUUUCCCCCUGCUCAAUAAAGACAAUUGCCACUUUUAAUAGGAGCCUCUUUGCUCAGUUAGAUUACUGCUUUGGUAAUCUGGAAUAAUGUGCUCUGCAUGCACUUUAUUAGCUGCUUUUCCUUUGUGGUAUGUUUGUAGUCCAUUUACAAUUUAGGUAAAUAAAUCUAUGAACUGUAUGUCCUUUCAGGUUGCUUCAUCAUAUCCCUUACACAUUCAUAGGCAUGUCUCCAUUUUCACUGGUGAAAUAGUGGAGGGUAUGCAUUGGGGGCAUGCUUCAUGCAUCAGAGUGCAAAGUUUGACCCUAAGGUUCUCCUCUCAAAUAGGGAACUAGUUUUAAAAACACAUAUUUUAAUGCACCUGAGAUUUUUUUUAAGUGUAUACCCAAUGUGUGACAGUGACAAACAGGUGUCUUAAAACAUGUGCAGCAUGUGGAUACAUUCAUCAGUGUUCCAGGAUUACCUUUUGACUGUAUAUUUAUUUGAAAAGCUAAGAUUGCUGCUCUGUAGUGUUUGAAGUGGCUCUUGCUUCUUUCCAGCAUCACACAUUUUAUACGUGCUUCUUAAGAUGCAUCCCUUAAGUUGCAUUGCAAGAAUAAACACUAUUUUAGCACAAAGGUACACAUCUGAUACAUCUCAGCAUGUGGUUUUUGUAGUACAAUUGGUCUGCAGUCCUUCUUGAGAGGUUCUGAUUUCUGAUGUAGAUGUGGUUGAAACAUCAUGGAGAGCGAAUGUUCCUUUAGACCUGCACCCCAUACGAAUGUGGUACACAUGAUCGUGACUGCUGACUAUGUGCCUUUUCAAGCAUCUAUGAUGAUUAAUGUGGCUGUAAACCACCAACAGAAGAAAUGAUAAAGAGCAGCACUAGGAAGCUGCAGAUAGAUAGCUGUGUUUGAUGGUUUUAAAAAGUCACAGCACCUAUAAGCUAAACUAGAUUUUCCAUGAGAUUAGUCCCUUGUGCCCUAAAUUUUGUAGACAUGUCAGACUGGAAAUAGCAGGGGUUAAGUAUUUUUACAAGAUCUAGUCUUUUCUAAGACCUUUUACUGCUAGCCCUGGCAUUCAGGACCACUUUCACAGACAUGGACAUCUCCAUUUUUAAAAUUUAAUUUCUAAUUUUAUUUUUACAUUUAUAUCCUGCUCUUCCUCCAAGGAGCCCAGAGCAUUGUACAUGGUUUUAUGUUUAUCCUCAGUACAACCCUGUGAGAUAGGUUAGGUUGAGAGAUGAAUGACUGGUCCAUGCAGUCUGCUUGCACUCUGGAAAGAUAUUCACUUUCAGUUUUCUCCAUAGAUUCCCUGCCAAGGUUCUUGAUGCACUCUUAUUUGGACUGAAUGAAGACUGCUGUAUAAAUGUUUAGGUUCAAAUAAAGCCCCAACUCUGAACAUCCAGGAAUCAACCUCAUUUUGUUUCUUUCUCUCAUUUAUUUCUUCAAGACAUUGUCAUGUUAUAUACAGUAUAUUUCUCUGGAGGCAGGACUAAUUAGAACUGAGCCCAAAAUAUGGUUAUCUAUUUUUAAUGAUUGGCUUAAUUUAUUCUUCUUAAUUUACCUUUCUGGCUUAGCCCCUCUCACAUUAGUGGAUGACUUUCAGACUUGAUGGAGACAGUUCUUGGAAGUGAAAUUCUUAUCCUAUGGACUAUCCCUGGAUUUUUUGUCACCUCUAGGAUAUGUUUAGGUUAAAAUGGUUCUUAAACAGCAUAUUUUGGAUACUGAGCACCAGGCUGAUUUGGGCUUGGUGGCCAAUUUUAUUAUCCUAGGGAGAAUAUGGCAUGUUGUGUGACCUGCUGAUUAUCUUAAACAGUUAGUUGUCUCUAGUCAUAGGAUGGCAUUUACAAUCACUCACUAUAAUGUGCUCCCUUCAGCAGUGAUGAAAAGAAGAUUAGAUUCUCUAUCAGAACUAUUUUUUUUCAUCUGUGUACAAAAUGAAUUUUGUUCUGGGUGGCGGUAUCAAGGCAGUGUGCGUGCAUGUGCAUUCAGAGUGGAGUGAGCCAUCCUGAUUCAACCUGAGCGGGAUCUAAAAUUAAUUGAGUGGACAUCAAAAAACUUGUGUAUGCAUACACAUGCACAUGCCUUGGAGGGAACACUGAAGAAUGUAUGUGCCUUUGUAAUUUGGAAGCCAUAGAGACUUUGGAUCAUGUCUUUCUUUAUUGUAGGUUUUGUCAUGAUAUUCAUAACACUCUUAUACUCCUUUUAAAAUUCUGACACAUUUCUGCUCUCUGAUCAGAAUUUUGCUAUUACUUACAAUGUUACUAAGUUUUGGGCAGUGGUGUGAAAAAUCUGAUGAGAGUUUGUUAAUGUCAAUGAGCUUUAAACUGUUCACUAUUAGAUAGUCUAAUAUUUAAAUUUAAUUGUUAGUGCUUAUGUUAUUCAACUUAGAUCCACAUUUAUGUAUUCUUAUCAUGCUGUUUAUUAUUUGCACUGAACUAUAUUGUAGGUUGUAUUGAUACUUAACUUAUCUAUCUAUCUAUCUAUCUAUCUAUCUAUCUAUCUAUCUAUCUAUCUUCUUGCCUAGAAGAAUGCUCCUGUCUCUGUACUUUGAAUUAGGGAUGUGCAUGGAACCGGUUCUGUCCAUUGUGUCAUUGUGCACCCCUGCAUUCGAACCGAUUUGGACACUGGUCGACGGAACUGGUUUGGUGCUCCAGAAAAGGAGCUCCAGACCAGUUCCGUGCACAUCCCUACUUUGCAUGCCUUUCAAUUAUUUCAUUUUAUAUUCAUCUCUCUUGGCUCCAACCUGCUUUGACCUCCAGAUUCAAUCUAAUAAAUGCUUCAGUUGUGCAGAAAGGUUGACUUUGUUCCAUCAGGUUCAACAUAAUGCCAGCCACUGUAGCCAGCCAGCUGCCAGCUGCCCUUGGAAAGCUCACAAAAGGGCUAUACUAGUGUUUGCUUUUGAUGAGCACAACCAAUCUCUCAAUAUCAGACAUAGAUCAAGCCCUCCCCAGCCAAUCUUUAUUUAUUUUAUUUAUUACAUUUUUAUAGCACCUCCAUCUAUUAGCCCUGGGUGGUUUAUAACAAUAAAUCAACAACAAUUGAGAAAUUAAUGCCAGCCAAUCUUGUCUGGUGGAUGCUCUUUCAGAUAUCUAUGGUCCAUUAAGGGCUUUAAAGGUAACAACAAUUAACAGGAAUCAGACCCAGAAACAAAUUAGUAGUAGGUGUGGUUCUCUGAAGAUGAGAAAAAUACACUCUCAUUGGGUGGCUCCAGAUAUAAUCCAGGCUACCAUAUUUUGUGCUAGCUGAAAUUUCAGGAUAUUCUUCAAGGGCAUUAAUCCAAAUAUGACAUGGCUAAGGCAUGGGUAACUGUGUCCAGGGAGGACAGUUCAUGUCUGUGCAAAUGUACUCCUGGCCACAAGCACUACGCAGCAUCCAGAGCAGAGCUGGAUCCAGCAGAGCCCCCAAGCUGCAAACCUGCUCCUGUAGAGGGAAUGCAGCCCCAUCUAGAACAGGUUAAGCUCCCUCACCUGAUCCAUGACUGGCUCUCCUACUGACUAACAGAAAUUUCUUUGCAGUCAAACAUGCUUCUUUAUUGCUGAGUAGAACACAUAUUGAGGCUGUUCUCAUGACCAUAUGGAGGCGGGCUGGAGGGGAGGCACAUUCCUACCCUGUGCCUCCCAGAUGACCCAAGCCCCCAGUUGGGUUUACUUACCUAACCCCCAGAUGAUCAGGCUGCAACAUGUUCCAGCAGGGAAUUAAAACUUGAUCUGGGUCCACCAGUAUCCCACAAUGCAUUGUGUGAGCAGCAGAGAGGCAUCCCUUAGUACAGCAACAGCUCUCCUCUCCCUACCCUACAGGAUCCUAUGGGGGUUUGGGGAAAAAGUUUAAAAAUUGUUUAGUAUUGCCUGCUUGUCCAUUUCUCUUGUAGGUUGGGUGGUAGGUAGCACCCAUCAUGCCCUACCACACAACCCACUUUGUUGUCCCUAGGAGCUAUGCAUGGCAAACAGUGGGGUGUUUUGAGUUGUUUGUUCCCGAUGGCUGAAGCACUCGAAACAUUUUGAGUUUGUUUAGACAAUACAGGUGAUUCGACUGCUGUUUCUACACAAUGUUUAGGCCAUUUUGCAUUUCAUUUCAAGCUCAAAACGAAAUGCAAAAUCCAUUUCAUGCGCACCCCUAAUAUUUGAAAUUAAAUUUAGCAUGAGCCGAAAACAGAGCUAUCUAAUUGUGAAUGGACUCUAAUGUACUCCCUUGUAUAGAUUUCUCUGCCUUAUGUCCUGACAAUUCUCUUCAUGUGGCAAAGAAGCAGCCAGGCACCACCACCCCCUUCACUGAACACCUAAGGUGGAAGCCCAUACAGUACAUGCCUCUCCCCUGUACACCCAGAAGAGAAGAUUCAACAUCAGAACUUGAACCAGCCAAAAAUGCGGAAGUUGCUCCCUGCAGUUCCAAAGGAAGUGACACCGUAUUCAUGUAAAUUAGAAGUAAUUUCAGACCCUUCAAAGGAUACUGUGGAGGAACAGCCCUCUAUUCCUCCUAACCUUUUUACCGCUGCCACCAAGUGGACUUCUGGUCAGCCUUCAAAAGGUUCUGUAGCAACUUCACAAGUUCAGCAAAGGACUUAGAGCAUGGCUUAUCUGGAUAUGUCAAACUGCAGAGCAAGAGGUGAAACUUGGAAAAUUAGAAUAUCGUGCAAAAGUCCAUUAAUUUCAGUAAUGCAAAUUAAAAGGUGAAACUGAUAUAUGAGACAGACGCAUUACAUGCAAAGCGAGAUAAGUCAAGCCUUAAUUUGUUAUAAUUGUGAUGAUCAUGGCGUACAGCUCAUGAAAACCCCAAAUCCACAAUCUCAGAAAAUUAGAAUAUUACAUGGAACCAAGAAGACAAGGAUUGAAGAAUAGAACAAUAUCGGACCUCUGAAAAGUAUAAGCAUGCAUAUGUAUUCAGUACUUGGUUUGGGCCCCUUUUGCAGCAGUUACUGCCUCAAUGCGGCGUGGCAUGGAUGCUAUCAGCCUGUGGCACUGAUGAGGUGUUAUGGAAGACCAGGAUGCUUCAUUAGCGGCCUUCAGCAAUUCUGCAUUGUUUGGUCUCAUGUCUCUCAUCCUUCUCUUGCAAUGCCCCAUAGAUUCUCUAUGGGGUCAGGUCAGGCGAGUUUGCUGGCCAAUCAAGCACAGUACACUGUAUACUUUUCAGAGUGGGCCGCCCACAUGGCAGCCUGCUCCGUCAUGGAGCCGGCGGGAGCUGCAGGGAUUGGGGGCUGCGUGGCCCCAUUAUCUACUUAAAAUCUGGGAUAAACUAUGUGAAAAGCAUCAAUCUUUCUAAAGCCCAGUAGUCAUUUAUGACAUGACUUUCACAAGAUCUGAAAUGUGGAAGGGCAGUAACAUCUUUAGGUGUAUUAUUUAGUAAUGCUUGGGAUAUGAAGGCCUCAUAAGAAAUGUUAUGAAACAGGGGGAAGAGGCAUAUACUUCAAAUAAUCAACACAACCUAUCCUCCCACAUAGGGCACUAUCAACAUAAUCUAUGGACUUCCCUAACCAGCCCUUGUACAGGGAUGCAUAGUCCCUGCUCCCCAGAGUUCUGGGAAAAACACACACACACACACACACACACACACACACACACACACACACACACACUGUAAACAUAAAGGGGCUCUUAGGGCAAUCAACAUGAUGUCAGAGAAACAACUGAGAUUCUGAUGGCAUUUCUGUAUUGCUUCCUGACACAGAGCCAAGUUGGACCAGCCCACUUCAGUCCUAUAUUAUUGAACUUGGCUCUGUGUCAGAUCAGCAUGUUGCCAACCAGAGAACACUGAAAAAUCCUGAGUUCACACAGCACGCUCCUCAGGAGCUUAUGUACCACUGGAAACUCCAGUUUUCAUCUAACUGACAUCAGUGUUAAUCAUGUGAAGAGCCCCAAAGAGUUUUGCUUUAAAAUUGUUAUUGAGCCAGUUCAAAUGUCAUGCAGAACUGGUUAAAUCUUGGUUCAGUGUGAUAUUCCUGAGUCUCAGGCAUGUGUAUUUCCCCUUCCCUUGUCCAUAUGAGCUUCAGCAGAUUUCUAGUUCCAGCUGUGAUUAGAAACAAAUGAAGAUAGAUUGUGCUGUCUGAACUCAUCAAUCUUAGUUUAUUCAAACCAAAGUGCUUGAAAUAAACCACAGUUUGAAACCUUGGGUUCAGAUAUUGUUUUAUUCAAAGGAAGUCGGUUAAAAUAAACUAACAUUAGUUGGUUUGUAUUUGGGCAGUGUAUAAAUGUGAUGAAUGAAUGAAUAAAUUUGAUGGUAGAAUUGUGGUGAGGCUUGGCAGACAGGGGAGGGGGCAUGUGCACUAGGGGUGUGCGAGACUCAAAUCAAGCCAGGCUCAAGGUCGAGCUGGCUCGGCUUGGAGGAGCCAUAAUAUGAAGCAUAUUUCCCAGGAAGAAAGUGGCUGUAUUCACACACACACCCCAACCCAAUCUCCUGUCUGAAUUCAGACAGAACAGGGAGCAGGGAUCCUGCAGUCAGCGAGACUGCAGAGAGGAGGGGGAACUGGCUGUGCAGGUUUCCUUCUUUCAUGAGGGACAGCCUGCAUAGCCAAUCACAGCCAGACAGAGGGAGGAGCUUCCUCCCUCAACUCUGGUUUCAGCCUGCCAUUCCACAUUUGAACAUAACACAGGCUGCAUCCAACCUCAGGUUGGGGUGGUGAGACUCACUGCAUCCUGAGGAUUCAAAUUGAAGUUUGGAGAGUGGAACCUCGGGUCAUGCUCCAUGCGAAACUGGAGUUUGGAAGGGGUGUCCUGCAUUCAAAUAUACAGGUUUGGCAACCUCUGGACCCUUCAACUCCAGUUUUGUGUUAUGUGCAAAUGCAGUAACAGUGUCAUUGAACUGAAUGAGACUUAUUUUGGAUUGAAGUUGCUUGGAAUUACCGUACGGAAUAAAAAGUGUUAGCAAAACACUUUCUCCUCACAUCCCACGUUGCACAAACUAUAUUGUAUAUGAUGAUUCAUUAUCUUAAUCUCCCUAUAAAUAUUAAGUAGAGAAAUGCCUCAACAAAAUAAUUAUAAAAUGUAAGGACUUUUUGCACCCCAAAAGUAGAUAUUAUUUCAUCAGGCCUCCCCCAGUGUUUUCUGAACUGUUUCUGCUAUCUGUAGUUUCACAGGUUUCACCUCUCUUUGCACUUAUGAUAUUUUACACUAUUUGUUUGCUGAUGCAUCUGUUUUAUUGUAUUUAUAUUGUAACUUUUCUUUGUAUUGUAUUUGUAUUGCAAUUUUCCUUUGUUAGCUGCCUUGAAUGCAACUGAAAAAAGAGGAUGUAAAUCCUUAAACGAAUAGCUACCACCAAUGGUCUAGAGAUAUCAGCAGCUAACACCUUGGAGAUAUCUGAGACAGCUUUUAUAGGCAAACUGGACAACUAAUUUAGUGCUUUAAAGGCACAGUUCAUUGACCUGCAUUGAAGAGAGUUCAAGAACUAUUUAAAAACUAUGUUCUUAUAUUGUUCGAAUGUCUGAAAUUUGGGCUGCAAUCCUAAUACUUAUUAGGAAGUAAGUAUGUUUAGUGAGACUUACUUUUGAAUAAUCAUGCUUAGAAUAGCAGUGUAAUGGCUUCUGACAUUCACCACUGAACAUUGACAAUUCCAUAAAAAUUUGUGAAUGACGCAAUUUGGAAAUCCUCCCAUGAAUGCUGAGAUGAGAUGGCCAGCAUUUGCCUGUAUAUAUUCCAAAAAGCAGGAAAACAUGGGACAAUUCAUAACAUGCAUCUGGGAUUAUCAGUAUUCAGUGGUCACAAUCAUUCAAAUCUAGGUUUAAAUUUGAUAACUGACAUUAGCAUGACUGUGAAAACCCAUGCCAAGGCAGGAAUCUCAGAUUCAUCUUGGGACACAAACCAAGCUUGUUUAUCUUGGUGGAGGUUCACGCAAUCAUGCUAAUGUUAGUUACCAACUUUAAACCUAAUUUUGACAAUUGUGUGAAUCAGGCUAUUAUGAAUAUUGUGAUUUCCUACAUUUUGGACUUUCAUUAGCAAAACUAGGUAACAGGUACAUCCUUUUAUUUUAGAUUCAUUAUCUUAAAAUUAUCACUUUCUAAUUCUGUAUAUGUAAUUAAUUGCAUUGAUUAUAGUUCAUUCCACAUAUUGAUGGGAACAUUGAAAGGAUGCAAAAAACCCACACCCAUUUACUUUCUCACCCAUCCUGAUUAUAAGUGUGAAAGGUUGGCUAAAAGGUAUAAAGGGUAAACUGAUCCAUGUGAAGUGAUCUUGAAUUUUGCUCAGUGCACAAUGGGCAAUAUGAGAGCUGGGUCUCAGUAAAAUCUAAGGGUAUAAAUACAUUGAUGGCCAUUGCUGCUGUUCAGGAAUCCAAAUGCACUUUUACUUUAAGCUAUAAACAAAUUAAAUGGUCUCUUUGUUACAGGUAAAGAAGGCUGAGUCAUUCAUUGUGUGAUAAUGUGGGUGUGUGGGAGAACUGAUUCUCCUUUGAGCCCUUGAGGCAGGGAAGGGAGAUUUUGACUUCAUCGGUGUGGUUUUGUUACUGUAGCUACAUGUUGCAAACUAUGAUCUAUAACGUAAAGCCCUUUAUGACUCUUUUUAUUAAUGUGCUCCUUUCAAAACAAAAUAGCAUAUGAACUACCCAGGUGUUGCCAUCUGGCAUGAAAAUUCGUGGUUCAGACGCUAACAUUGCUCCUGUGGUUUCAUGUAAGUCCAUUAUGGACUGAUGAAAUAUGCCAAGCUAUUAAUCAGAAAGGCUGAAGUUAAUAACCCAGCGAAUGACUCUGUAUUGUAUAUCAAAGGGAAAACAGCCCACCCAGCAUGCUUUUGCACUGGCUUGAAAUGGAGGACAGGUCUUCUCUUGAGGCAACGCCCAGUCCACUGUAUGGACUAGUGGGGAAUCCAUCUGUGAACUGGCACUGUUAUUAUGUACAUGUCAUGUGGAGAGUGGAUGAGUUGAGUCAACAUAGCACUGAACCCCAUCCAAACCCCUGUGUGGACAUGCCCUGAACCUCCUUAUUGAGGUUGCCAACAGGAGUGCCAGUUAGUGAUUGCUUCAAAUGUUUUACGAGUUCAUUGUUGAUAGGGCUAGUAGGAACCAGAUUAAGGCCAACAGUUCACUUCACCUCUUUAGUAGAAGAGUAAUUGCAUUUGCCUGGGGUUCCAUGGAAAUAGGCUAGAUCCUUCAAGUGUGACAAAGACUGUUUUCAGAACACAUGUUUAAGUGCUGGCUUCAUGGAAAUACCACAGGCUGAUUUAUCUAUGUGAGGCUGUUUUCAGAUUCCUUUUCUUCGGGGUUUCCAUUUGUAUGUGGGUUUAUGGAUGCUUUCAUAGGACUAUGAACGUGACCAAAUAGAAUGGAUAUAAUUAAACAUAAUGAGGCCAUUCACACAAUCAAAACUGUGUUCUACCCAGGUUUGAAGGCUGUGAGUACUCCCAACUUUCCGUUGUGUGGAAGCAAGGUAGGAGGAAAACUUGGGUAGAAGUGAUUGUGUGGAAGCAAAGUAGGAGGAAAAUCUGGUUAGCUUUCCCUCCUACCUUGCUUCAUGUAUUCAGUGAAUGCAUGGAAGGAAUGAGUUAAUGAGAUUAGCACAGAGAUUAGCACAGAGAAGAACACAGAAGUGAUUUUUUUUGUGUGGUGGUGGCAGCAGCAGCAACGCUGUGCUCAAAUUAUGCGAAAGCAUAAGGAAACUCUUCAUGAAAUUUGCAAGUUCCUCCCCGAUUCCCCCAAUUUUAGCCAAUCAUGCUUCCCAGUAGCUAAAGAGGGCAUCACAAAAGAUAAGGGAGCCUGUUAUCCUUCAAGUGCCCAUGUAAUUUGAGCACAGCAGCAGAGCAGAAUUUUCUGUUUUCAGUGAAGAGAAAAAAGACCCCAAUGGUUAUGUCAAAAAGUGAAAAAUUUCCAGCAGGUUCUGGAUGCUUCUGCAUCCUUUAUUCUAAGAGAAGCUCACAGACUCUCCACCCCUUAUAGCUGAAUCAGUUUCUUGAAAAUAACAAGAGAUAUUCAGAUAACUGAGUUCAGAACUUUGUAACCACUAUAUCACCAGAACUAGGCAAGGCUUCCAAAUGAACUAGUUUCCUUUCUUUGAAGCACAGGUACCAUCUCUGAUGUUGCUCAGACUUCUAUACCAUUUCUGAUGCACUGCCUAUGUCUGUCUGUAGACACAGCCUUUUAAUUUCAGUCUCAAUUCAGCCCGCUGUCCAAAAUGUAAAGCACAAACUGACAGUUCAAAGCAAGGUUAUUAGGAUAUGCAAAGAGCUAUCAUCACUACCUUGAGAGAAGAGAAGGAAUACAUAGAGCAGGUUUGGGAAAUGAGGCUAAGAGCUGGGUACAGGGACCAGAGAGAGAAAUGAGAGAAGGAUGGAGCUCCAUUAAGGUCACUCCAAUGCUCAGCCUCAAGUUCUACUUCGUGAAACACAAAGGCUGUUCUCACAACCUUUCCUGUGGAUCUGGGGAGGGCGGGGGGGGGAGCAGGAGUGCCUGCCUUCCCCACAGAUGUGUGGCAGCCAUCUUGGGCUUCACUGCAUUGCACACUCACAUGAGCGGCACCACAACAGAGUCCUGAGCUGGAAUCAGAAGGCCUCCUGCAUCCCAGUGUGCCCUGCGUGAGCAGUGGAGUGGCUGCUUUCUGCUCUGUUCUAUGUGCUCGCUGACCAAAAAGGUGACAGUGAGGGGGAAGCUCAGCUACCCCAUGAUGAUCACACACACAAUAGUCUGCUGAGAUAGAAAGAACCAUUGGUUCCUUCCACCUCAGUAAAAAGCUGGGUAGUACCCCUUCCUGAGCAGUAGUGUACUGGAGGGGCGAAGUAAAAUUAUUUUAAAUAAAUAAAUAAUAAAUAGCAAAUUCAGGCUACCCAGGACUGGAGCAGCUGGGAGCAGAGGGCCACUCCAGAUGAUAUAAGGUGCUCCAGAUGAUAUAAGGGGUAAUCCAGGGAGCUUGUGUCUUGUGAAUGGCCUCAUUUUGGUUUAUAUGAAACCUAUAUCGGUUUGAUUCAAUCUGCAGCGGCUACAUGUGGAAGCAUAUUUAUUUGAACUGUGGAAGAAUAAAUGCACACUGCAUUUAUUUAUAUAUUAGGCAGUAUAUAAAUAAAUAAACCUGUGUCCAAGCUGAGAAAGAGAAGAGAAUGAUGGUUUUAGUAUCUGUCAGAGGCGUAAAGUAAAGUUGUGCCGUCGAAUCAGUGUUGACUCCUCUUGACAACGGAACCAUGUGGUUUUCUUGGGUAGAAUACAGGAGUGGUUUACCAUUGCCAUCUCCUAUGAAGUAUGAGAUUAUGCUUUUCAGCAUAUUCCUAUAUCGCUGCUGCCUGAUAUAGGUGUUUCCCAUAGUCUGGGAAACAUACCAGCGGGGAUUUGAACCAGCAACUUCUUGCUUCCUAGGCAGCUUAUUUCCCUGCUGUGCCAUUAGGUGGCUUACCUAAGUAAUUUUGAAGUCUGGACAUAAAGGCUCCCACCCUACCACACUGCAAGAUAAUCUGCAAUGCACCAUGUUUUACACCAGAACAUGCUCAGGGAAAGGUGGAAACUUUUUAAAAAAAUAAUAAAUUCUGAAUCAGAUACUUCCACAUUUUGCAUGGAUAGUCGUGCUACUCUCCCCUCUUCCUCCCUCUCUCUGUCUAGAAUGUUCCAGCCCCAGCAAAGGCAGGAGGUAGGGAUAAACACAACGGAGAAACUCUUCUUUGGCACUUGGUAGGUGAGGCCCACGCUGCCUGGAAUAGCCAGCUGAGGCAGAAGCUGCUGUCUGCUCUGCACCUUCUCCUGGCCCCACUAUGCCGUACAUGCUGACUUCGAGGAUGGGGCCUGGCUGUCUGGCUGUCUGGAGUGAGUGAGGGAUAGGGUCAACCGGCUACCGUGCGAAUCAUGCCAUGCAUUUGGCUGCCUGGCAUGGCGUGGGCAGACUAUGGUGGCCCAGCACACUCCACACAACACAAGGAGCAUAAUUUGGGGGCCCCCAAGGCCUGCGGGGACUGGACUUCCACCUGAUAUUUGUGAUUUUAGAGAUAUAGCUCAACUGAAGAAAGUAAUGGGCAGAAUCACUGGAAGCAGAACUCUCCAAUUCUCCUAUUGUUUCGCAGAAUUCCUAGGAAUAUUCAGAAACUGGGAGUGGAAUACCUUUUGGAUACUACAAUUUUAAAAAAUCAGCUCUAAAACUGUGACUACUCUGGUGGAAUAAUCAAAUUGCUUGCCCUGUUUACUUUUGAAAGCAGUAAUUAUUGCUCACAUAAAUCAUUUGAACGCAUGCAAUCUUUUCUAUGUAUUUCCUGACACUGGCAAGCUAACAGCUUUGGUUAACAAUUCCGGAACUCCAGUAGGUUUUAUUGGUUACGGUUCUAUGUUAGAGGUAAAUAUUUGCUGUGAAGGCUAUGGAUGCGAACACAUUAUACAUUUCAAGUUUAAAUCACAAUAAAAGUCUUUGCGCAAGCUGAAGCUGAAGAGCUGCUGCUCUCUUUGAGAGAGUCCCUUAAGAUGAGGAAUCUGACUGUAAUAAUUCAACGAAUAGUGGGAGACCACAGUAAGGCUAACUCUGAACAUGGCAAUACUAGUCUGAUGUACAUGAGAGUUUGUGAAGAGUAAAACAUUUAAGGAAUUAAAAUGCAAAGGUAAGGCCAACAGUGAAGAAAAUUCCCCUGUUGCACAAUAUGUUGGCAUUUUUUCUUAUGUUAGUUUGAGCUUCAGACAGGCAGAAGAAGAAAACACAUCUAGUGCUUCUGGUAGGAUUCAGUAAGUUCCAGGCUGUCCACUGUUUCCUGACUCAUGUUGGCAAGAUGGAAUACCUUCAGCUUAAAUAUAACAUUUUUUCCACCAGCAGUGAAUAAUCUAAGAAUCUGGAUAGACACUUUACCAGUGCAGCACAACUUACUAACGACUUUCCUCAUUUUGCUAGUCAGGCACAUAAAUCUGUAACAAUGUGUGAAAAUGACAUUUAAGAGUCACAGAUUGCAGCUGCUGUGUAGAAGCAACUAGAAAAUGGAUGGCAUCCAUAGCAUAUGUCCAUUUCUGGAGUUAAAUGGCCUUAAAACAGUGGUACAUAUGCUGGUAACCUUCAGGUUUGACUACUUUAAUGCACUUUAUGUGAGGCUGCCUUUUUAUGAAGUCCGGAAACUACAAUUGAUACAGAAUGCACCGGCCAGACUGGUAUCUGGGACAGCCCGACAGGACCACAUAACACCAAUUUUUAAAGAACUGCUCUGGCUGCCAAUAAAUUUCUGGUCAAAAUAUAAAGUGCUGGUUAUUAUAAAGCCCUUACUGGCUUGGGCCCAGGGUAUUUAAGAUAGCACCUUCUUUGUCAUGAACCUUGCCACCUAUUAUGAUCUUCUGGAGAGGUCCAGUUAUGGUAGCUGCUGGCUUGUUUGUGGCAACUUGGGACGGAGCUUUCUCUGUGGCUGCCCUGGAGCUUUGGAAUAUGCAGAGGUAUAUCUAGGGAAAAUAGCGCCUAGGGCAAGCACUGAAAUUGCGCCCCCUGUCCAAACUUCUGACACCCAACUUUCAGAUAACUUUACCAUAAUAUCAGCUGAAAAAUACAAGUCAAGUUCGUUAAUCUUUUAAUAUUUUGAAAACUAUUUAGCAGUGGACUUAGCCAGACCAAAAAAUGCUGGAAAACUACAAAUUUCAGUAUGCUGUGGCUCAUGAAAUACCCAAAUACUAUGUGGAGGUGUACUUGGAAAGUAAACAGAAGUGCCUGUCUAAUUCUCUACUAUGUAUUGUAGCAUCACUAUUACAUAAGCUUUAAAAAUAAAUGGAGAAUUUGACUUUUCCCAGAUACUCUGAAAAUAAUUAAAGGAUAU